rnacentral:rRNA from 1 species
AGUGAACGCUGGCGGUAGGCCUAACACAUGCAAGUCGAACGGCAGCACAGUAAGAGCUUGCUCUUACGGGUGGCGAGUGGCGGACGGGUGAGGAAUACAUCGGACUCUACUUUUUCGUGGGGGAUAACGUAGGGAAACUUACGCUAAUACCGCAUACGACCUACGGGUGAAAGCAGGGGAUCUUCGGACCUUGCGCGAUUGCAUGAGCCGAUGUCGGAUUAGCUAGUUGGCGGGGUAAAGGCCCACCAAGGCGACGAUCCGUAGCUGGUCUGAGAGGAUGAUGAGCCACAGUGGAACUGAGACACGGUCCAGAGUCCUACGGGAGGCAGCAGUGGGGAAGAGUGGACAAUGGGGGCAAGCCUGAUCCAGCCAUACCGCGUGGGUGAAGAAGGCCUUCGGGUUGUAAAGCCCUUUUGUGGGGAAAGAAAAGCAGCAGGUUAAUACCCCGCUGUUCUGACGGUACCCAAAGAAGAAGCACCGGCUAACUUCGUG